AGGGGACAUUCCUUGAGCCGAUGAUGAUGGGGAAAAUCAGUGAAGGGGACAUUUAUGGGGACUCAGACAAUGACACAGUGAUGGAAUCCACUCGAAGAGAAGACUUAGCCUCUUGACGCCAGUGUAUGCAGUGGUGGAGUUCCACAGUGAAACUCCAGUCACGGUGGCAGCAGUGGUUAAGUCAUGGAUCGUGACCACCAAGAAGGGAUUCCUGUGCUACUGGCCAUCAACAGGCUACAACAAGAAGCUGACGAGAGGUGAUGCUAGGGCUGGGCAAUAUGGCGAUAUAUAUUGCCCGACGAUAGAAAAACGCAUAUCGUUUCACUGUAUCGUUUAUUUCGAUGUGUCGCAAAUCACACUCUUUAUGGCAAUAUUUUUCGUCAAUUGGACGACACUUUGUGUGCCGUGUGGAAGGAAAUGUGCAACACUAACAAACAUGGAGGAGAGUGAAUGUGACACAGAGCACGGAGACACAGAGCUCGUACCUAAAGGAGGGGUCGCAUGGACGUGGUUUGUGUAUGAAAAGUCUGACACGUACCAGAAAACCGCCCUCUGCAAAAUAUACCGCUGGCCAGUCCUGACAACAGGCUCAAACACUACUAACCUCUUCUACCACCUACGCAAGAAUCACGUGAAACAGUACGGAGAGAGUCUACGGAUGAGACCCAAAAAAUUAGAGUUGAGUGCUCAAAACAAAUCCGACUCAGACGCUGUUUUGUUUUUGUAUCUAGCAACUGAUAUAGAUGAGUUAUUUAAGGAACGCUGCUUUCCAGAGAACUUUACGUUUACCUCUACCACCCAGAUGUCAGGACACAAAUGAAGGUGUCUAACAUGGAAUCAUUAUUUAUUAUUUCACAACGAACAGAAUUUUGUUCCAACGCAAUAAAUCAUGCAUCUUAUGAUUUGUAAUUACCCAAAGAUAUCCCGCAAAAAGGAAAAGCCUCCAAAGUGUCCAGUGAACCACAAACU